rnacentral:rRNA from 1 species
CCCGGCAGGCCUAACACAUGCAAGUCGAGCGGUAACAGGAAUUAGCUUGCUAAUUUGCUGACGAGCGGCGGACGGGUGAGUAAUGCCUGGGAAUAUGCCUUAGUGUGGGGGAUAACUAUUGGAAACGAUAGCUAAUACCGCAUAACGUCUUCGGACCAAAGAGGGGGACCUUCGGGCCUCUCGCGCUAAGAUUAGCCCAGGUGGGAUUAGCUAGUUGGUGAGGUAAAGGCUCACCAAGGCAACGAUCCCUAGCUGGUCUGAGAGGAUGAUCAGCCACACUGGAACUGAGACACGGUCCAGACUCCUACGGGAGGCAGCAGUGGGGAAUAUUGCACAAUGGGGGAAACCCUGAUGCAGCCAUGCCGCGUGUAUGAAGAAGGCCUUCGGGUUGUAAAGUACUUUCAGUCGUGAGGAAGGGUAUGUAGUUAAUAGCUGCAUGCCUUGACGUUAGCGACAGA